rnacentral:rRNA from 1 species
UUACCUUCGGGUAUUGAGGAUGGCGGACGGGUGAGUAACGCGUAAGGAACUUGCCUCUUGGUCUGGGACAACUGUUGGAAACGACAGCUAAUACCGGAUAUUAUGAGAUUCUCGCAUGGGAAACUUAUGAAAGCUAUAUGCGCCAAGAGAGAGCCUUGCGUUCCAUUAGCUAGUUGGUGGGGUAACGGCCCACCAAGGCGACGAUGGAUAGCCGGCCUGAGAGGGUGAACGGCCACAAGGGGACUGAGACACGGCCCUUACUCCUACGGGAGGCAGCAGUGGGGAAUAUUGGACAAUGGGCCACAAGCCUGAUCCAGCAAUUCUGUGUGCACGAUGAAGGUCUUCGGAUUGUAAAGUGCUUUCAGUUGGGAAGAAGAAAGUGACGGUACCAACAGAAGAAGCGACGGCUAAAUACGUGCCAGCAGCCGCGGUAAUACGUAUGUCGCAAGCGUUAUCCGGAUUUAUUGGGCGUAAAGCGCGUCUAGGCGGAAAAAUAAGUCUGAUGUUAAAAUGCGGGGCUCAACUCCGUAUUGCGUUGGAAACUGUUUUUCUAGAGUACUGGAGAGGUGGGCGGAACUACAAGUGUAGAGGUGAAAUUCGUAGAUAUUUGUAGGAAUGCCGAUGGAGAAGUCAGCUCACUGGACAGAUACUGACGCUAAAGCGCGAAAGCGUGGGGAGCAAACAG